UGGACCUCAGAUCAGGCAAGAUUACCCGCUGAGUUUAAGCAUAUCACUAAGCGGAGGAAAAGAAA
rnacentral:rRNA from 1 species